CUCCGGGUUUGUCUGUAGUAAAUGGAUCCCACUAACCAAGGCUGCACUGGCAACCACUGGAUUCUUGUCAACAAUAGCUUGUUUCAAAUAUCGCUCAAUUUGGGUGAGUAGGGUUCCAUCUGUUAUCCGGCAAAGCACACGAAUAGCAUUUGCACGGUACAUAUCAGUCUUGCUAUUCAUGUCCUUCAUAAGGGAGCUUGUGACAAUGAUAACCUCAUCUGCUGAUGGGGAUAAUUCCUUUAUCAUCAAAUAGACCAUUCUCCUCAAACCUAUAUCUCUCGACUGGAAAAGCUUUGUCACAGCAAAGAAAACUUCUGUGGCUUCAAUCUUAG
rnacentral:misc_RNA from 1 species